CUUGAUCUAAAGGGAUAAUUAUUUCGGUGAGCGUAUGAGCGGAAAGAAGAUCUUCCGGCGGCGGCCAGUGCCGCAUGGCCGCAGCACCUGCCCGCCGACUGCCGGCCCGGCCAGCGAAUGCGCAUCGCGUAAAAAGGCACACGGCGGCGCCCGCUCCAGCGCUUCUCGCUCACUCAGUCAUCCGGAAGACGUGAACUCGCCUAGGUGCGUUUUCGGUGUUCAUCUAGCGCACAUCGUCGUGUCUGAGAAAUGGAGUUGGCCACAAAUUUAAGAACACCUCCGGUUGGUUCAACCUCCGUCCGCAGGUGCUUGUUUGGCAAGCCAGACGAAACUGCCUGGAAUGAGAAAUUGACGAACAUCUUGAAACUCCAACAAGAGGAGUUUGAAAAACGAUAUGACGUUAAAUUGGUUUCCCUUUGUGAUGAUAUUUUGGGAAGUGAAGUUCCGUUAACUCAGUCAGCUAAUAAAGACGACGCUGAGAUUGGAGAAGAAUUUUAUCAGGCUGAGGGAAAUGGGAAAAAUGAAGAAGCGCUACAUGUUGAAAACACCCCUGGUGAAGACCCGCCAACGAAUAAUUCUGAAGAGGAGGCUCAAACCCCUGCGAUGAACGCCAAUGAAACUGCAUGAAAUUAAAAUUCAUGCCAACCGAGUCACUAAAACAAUUUAAAACUACAGAACAAAAUUACAACUCUACAACCUUAUACUCUCUUUGGAGAUGUAUGCUUUAAAAGUAUCCUUUUGCAUAUAUUCUGUUAUCAAGACGCUUUUAAUUGUUUACUUUAUUAUUACUUCUAACUAGUCUGUACAAACCAUGCCAAACUGGAAUUAGCAGGAGAAACUUUUGUGAUUUAGUUUAAUAAAAUUGAUAUCAGUUAUGUAUGACCAUGAA